UGCUCCCUGAUGUUAGCGGCGGACGGGUGAGUAACACGUGGGUAACCUGCCUGUAAGACUGGGAUAACUCCGGGAAACCGGGGCUAAUACCGGAUGCUUGUUUGAACCGCAUGGUUCAAACAUAAAAGGUGGCUUCGGCUACCACUUACAGAUGGACCCGCGGCGCAUUAGCUAGUUGGUGAGGUAACGGCUCACCAAGGCAACGAUGCGUAGCCGACCUGAGAGGGUGAUCGGCCACACUGGGACUGAGACACGGCCCAGACUCCUACGGGAGGCAGCAGUAGGGAAUCUUCCGCAAUGGACGAAAGUCUGACGGAGCAACGCCGCGUGAGUGAUGAAGGUUUUCGGAU
rnacentral:rRNA from 1 species